CCUACGGGUGGCAGCAGUGAGGAAUAUUGGUCAAUGGACGAGAGUCUGAACCAGCCAAGUAGCGUGAAGGAUGACUGCCCUAUGGGUUGUAAACUUCUUUUAUAAAGGAAUAAAACGAGGCACGUGUGCCUUUUUGCAUGUACUUUAUGAAUAAGGAUCGGCUAACUCCGUGCCAGCAGCCGCGGUAAUACGGAGGAUCCGAGCGUUAUCCGGAUUUAUUGGGUUUAAAGGGAGCGUAGAUGGGUUGUUAAGUCUGGAGUGAAAUGCCGCAGCUUAACUGCGGAAUUGCUGUGGAAACUGGCGAACUAGAGUGCGGGAGGGGUAAGCGGAAUUCCUAGUGUAGCGGUGAAAUGCGUAGAUAUUAGGAGGAACACCGGUGGCGAAGGCGGCUUACUGGACCGUAACUGACGUUGAGGCUCGAAAGCGUGGGGAGCAAACAGGAUUAGAUACCCGAGUAGUC
rnacentral:rRNA from 1 species